AAUCUCUCUCUCUCUCAGCCAAGAUGAAAUGGGUGCAGGCGGCUUUGGUUCUCAUUCUCCUCCUUCUAUCUCCUGCAAGUCUCUUGAGUGAGGGAAGGCACUUAAAGCCCCUCAAAGGAGGAGUGAAAAUGUGUAAGACAAUGAUCCAUCAUCAACGCCAUGGUGUAAUGGUCGAUUACGUCCAGAAUUUCCGUCCCACUUCACCAGGCCACAGUCCUGGAAUCGGCCAUAUCCUACACCACCAACCCUAAAAAAUAGGCAGAUUUGCUAUUUCAUGGAUUGAUGAUGCUCUUCCUCUCUCUCUUUCUCAACUUGAACCUGGAGAAUAAGAAGAAAGUCUGGACUUUGGUGACUUUGUCGCCUGUAGACCUAUGCAGUGUGCGUACAUUGUUCUAAUAACUAAAGGUCAUGUCUCAUAGGAAAUAUUCACCACCUGAGUAUUCUAUGAACUUUCUUAAAUGCCUCUUUCUAAUAAAACGAAUGUAGAGAGUAGCAAUAACUGUAAUUUUGUGACUUUUUUCCUU
rnacentral:lncRNA from 1 species